rnacentral:misc_RNA from 1 species
AGAAUUGCCACAAAAGCAAAUCAUCCUCCAAUUUAUCCUUAAAAUGGAUCUCAAUGCAAUCUUUUCUCAGUCAUUCAAAGCCUCUCACCUCUCUCUCAUGUUGUUCAGUUUCUUUUACAUUCUUUUCUGAGUGGGGACUUUUGUUAUUUCCUGUGAUUUAGCCUAAUGACACCAUUGUCUUCAGUUCUUUACCAUUAAUAGGGUCGAUACCUUCUGCUGCGGUUGACUUCAUCACCACUGCUACUGCCUCCCGAACGGCCCGUUGGUCCACCUGACCCAUUGCUCCUCUCACUUCUUCGAGAUCGAGAAGGUGGCAUUGGUACUCCG